GUGUUCUUUGUCACACAGUUGUUUAACUAGAAGCAAACGUGUGAUCGAAGAACGUCGAUUAGAACAAAGUACUAGAGGUUUCAAGGAAAAAUUAUACGAUAUAGAAUUAUGUGUUUGGCAAUGUAUUUAAGUUAUGACUCCUUUUCGCAUGACGAAUGAAUCAUCUAUUAUUCUCACCUGUAUUAAGACGAGAUUCCCAAUAAUCAUGUGCCAUUGCUCCUUCGGCAUGUCCAUGUGUCCGAGAUUCGCUUGAGUAGAAAGACGCGACGCCAGGGUCAUUUCUAGAUUACCCUUCAGUCCUAAAAGUGCUGGUACCAGAAUCAUGAGCUCGUUGACCUUCUCAAAGACUACCCAGUGCUGCAAAUAAAUGAAAACAAAGAUUUGUUAACAAUGUAAAGUUUUGAAAAUCAAGCUAAUUUGAAAUAAAUUGACUAAUUACUUGGACCAGGUCGAGAACCAAUCCUGCGCCCACCAUGCCCAGGCCGGCGAUGAGGAAGGGUAUGAAGACCUGGAUGGUGAUCGCCAAAUACGACUCGAGUGGCUCGUUCUCGUCAGCCACACCGUAGAUUUUACUCUCGGCGACGACAUCCGGCAGCCGGCCGCCAUCGGCACCCUCGUCGAAGAUGGUCACCUCGAAGCUGUUGUCCUCGGUGUUGUGUCCGCUACCGGUGGUGGAGUUCACCGAAGCUGUCUGUCCAUUGGUAUUAGUUUCCUUCGAUUCGGAAGUGGUCCGCGACCGGCCAUCGGUCGGUGUCAUCCUAUGGGAGUUCUGCUUCUCCGGAAGCAGGGGCUCCUUACAUUGCUCACUGCCGACAGAAGGAUAGUUUCUCAUUGAUGUCGAUCAGAUGACUUGAAGGAUACUCAUUAAUCUUUUGUGACAAUCGUCAAUGGAUGGUCAAGGCGAAACGUUACGAUUUAUCAACACUUUCGAACGAAAUCGACUUAUCAAUACCUUCGUACGAAAUCGAUAAAUGUGUAAUUCUACGAUUCGGUGACGGAAUAAUGAAAUAUUAUGUCACGAUUAUAUGGUACAUUUGUCUUUUUGAUUUCGAGCUGUAAAAUUAAAAAUGAUUAAAUAGAACAUCGAUA